rnacentral:rRNA from 1 species
GUACUACUCUCAGAGUUUGAUCCUGGCUCAGGAUGAACGCUGGCGGCGUGCCUAACACAUGCAAGUCGAGCGCGACUGAUUUGAUGCUUGCAUCAUUGAAAGUUGAGCGGCGGACGGGUGAGUAACGCGUGGGUAACCUGCCCUAUACACAUGGAUAACAUACUGAAAAGUUUACUAAUACAUGAUAAAAUAGUUUUUCGGCAUCGAAGAAUUAUCAAAGUGUUAGCAGUAUAGGAUGGACCCGCGUCUGAUUAGCUAGUUGGUGAGAUAACUGCCCACCAAGGCGACGAUCAGUAGCCGACCUGAGAGGGUGAUCGGCCAUAUUGGAACUGAGACACGGUCCAA